rnacentral:rRNA from 1 species
UACGUAGGGUGCAAGCGUUAAUCGGAAUUACUGGGCGUAAAGCGUGCGCAGGCGGCUUUGUAAGUCUGGCGUGAAAUCCCCGGGCUUAACCUGGGAAUUGCGUUGGAGACUGCAAGGCUGGAGUCUGGCAGAGGGGGGUAGAAUUCCACGUGUAGCAGUGAAAUGCGUAGAGAUGUGGAGGAACACCGAUGGCGAAGGCAGCCCCCUGGGUCAAGACUGACGCUCAUGCACGAAAGCGUGGGGAGCAAACAGG